GUCCACGCCGUAAACGAUGUCUACUAGCCGUUGGGUUCCUUGAGGACUUAGUGGCGCAGCUAACGCAAUAAGUAGACCGCCUGGGGAGUACGGUCGCAAGAUUAAAACUCAAAUGAAUUGACGGGGCCCGCACAAGCGGUGGAGCAUGUGGUUUAAUUCGACGCAACGCGAAGAACCUUACCAGGUCUUGACAUCCAGAGAACUUUCCAGAGAUGGAUUGGUGCCUUCUGGAGCUCUGAGACAGGUGCUGCAUGGCUGUCGU
rnacentral:rRNA from 1 species